rnacentral:lncRNA from 1 species
UUUUAUAAAAUUUGAUAUAUAUGUAUUAACAAAAUUUUCUGUUUUAAUUAAAUUAAAUAGUAUAAAGAAAAAUUAGAAAAAAAUUGAAUAAAAAAAAUUAUUAUUAAGGUAUAUUUAACAAAAAAAUAACAUUUUUAUUUUAUAUUCAAAUGAAAUGAGACUAAUCUCUAUCUAUACAUCAUAAAAAUGUUGCAUUAUGGUAUAAUUUUUAUUUUAAAAAAAAAUAAGUUUACUAUAAAAUAAUUAUAUUUGAAUAAUUUGAAGGAAUUAAAAAAGUACAGAAAGAUCAGUAACCAAUAAGAAUACAAAAAAAAAACAAUGUAGGACACAUUCAAUUGUCUUUCAACCCGUUGGCAAAUAAUCCACCUGGAUUCUCACCUUUUUCAACAGGUCCAUUGCUUCAAUACAGUUGAAUAUUCAAUUCAACAGGGCCAUUGCUCAUGAUCUUAUACAAUGGUUUUGUUUUAAAAAUUCAACACUCUACCCCACAAAUUUUAGUUCAUAUUAUUGUUUUUUAAAACAUAACAAUUACAUAUUAAUAAUUACUUUAAAACUCAAAUAAUCUAAAUUUAAUAACAUUUAUUUUAAAUUAUUAUACUAAGCUUAUUUUUUAAAUAAUGCCAAAAUCAAUAUGAAUAAAAAAAUUUAAAUUAAGAACAUAUUAAUUUUAAGUUAAAUAUUUACUUAAUUUGGGUGUUAAAAGGAUUAUUAUUAGGAUCCAUUUAACCAAAAAAAAAAUCUAAAACACUAAAAUGGUCGAUUAUAGUGAAAAAUGACAAAUUGUUUUUCCAUAUCCAAAUGAAAUGAGAGUAGUAUUUAUUUAUAGAUAAAAAAUCUUGAAUUUUGAUAUUUUUUUUUAAAAAAAUAUUAUAUAAUAAAUAUGUUUGAGGUGAG